GAUGAACGCUGGCGGCGUGCCUAAUACAUGCAAGUCGAGCGAACAGACGAGGAGCUUGCUCCUCUGACGUUAGCGGCGGACGGGUGAGUAACACGUGGAUAACCUACCUAUAAGACUGGGAUAACUUCGGGAAACCGGAGCUAAUACCGGAUAAUAUAUUGAACCGCAUGGUUCAAUAGUGAAAGACGGUUUUGCUGUCACUUAUAGAUGGAUCCGCGCCGCAUUAGCUAGUUGGUAAGGUAACGGCUUACCAAGGCAACGAUGCGUAGCCGACCUGAGGGGGUGAUCGGCCACACUGGAACUGAGACACGGUCCAGACUCCUACGGGAGGCAGCAGUAGGGAAUCUUCCGCAAUGGGCGAAAGCCUGACGGAGCAACGCCGCGUGAGUGAUGAAGGUCUUCGGAUCGUAAAACUCUGUUAUUAGGGAAGAACAAAUGUGUAAGUAAAUAUGCACGUCUUGACGGUACCUAAUCAGAAAGCCACGGCUAACUACGUG
rnacentral:rRNA from 1 species